GGGAUUGUAGUUCAAUCGGCAAGCACCGCCCUGUCAAGCGGAAGCUGCGGGUUCGAGCCCCGUCAGUCCCG
rnacentral:tRNA from 1 species